GUCAGAUUCUGAAAUCACAAACGUUACUUGAGGAAUUACAAUAGAAGCAAAUUCUAAUUCACAUACAACAUCUACUGUAAAAAACACAAACAAUUUCACAUCAGAAACAACAACUAUUCCUGAAAACACCAGCUAUUUCUCUGUAGAACAAACUUCUGCAUUUGUAAAUACUGUGUUGGUUCCUUAGGUACAACUCCUGCUUCUGAGAAUGCAAGUAUUCAUUUAUUAAGAACAAGAAUUUCUCAAGGAGAUACAGCAUC